rnacentral:rRNA from 1 species
UACGUAGGGUGCGAGCGUUAAUCGGAAUUACUGGGCGUAAAGCGUGCGCAGGCGGUUGUGCAAGACCGAUGUGAAAUCCCCGGGCUUAACCUGGGAACUGCAUUGGUGACUGCACGGCUAGAGUGUGUCAGAGGGGGGUAGAAUUCCACGUGUAGCAGUGAAAUGCGUAGAGAUGUGGAGGAAUACCGAUGGCGAAGGCAGCCCCCUGGGCCAAUACUGACGCUCAUGCACGAAAGCGUGGGGAGCAAACAGG